ACAUUCGCAGGUAUUUUAUUCAGUGGCUUAUGAAUUACAUAACACGCAGCAUAAUGUAAUUGCUUUGAACAGUAAGACUGGGCUUUGUUUCCCAAAAUGAGAACAUUUUGUAAGCGAUUUUGUCAUAUAUGGACAUUGCGCAGAGUUACGGCACAAAGCAUCAAACUGCUGCUCCUUUUAAAAAGUUCAGAUCUGGAUCUUGUAGAUCUGUCUGCUUAUGACCUGAUUAAGCUUAAGGUGUAAAUCACAACUAAUGAACUCUUAUGAUGGCAUAUUUAAGCAAUUUCACACAAGCUAGAGUGCUGUUAUAUACUGAAUAUCGAGUGACGGUAAAUCACAACCAUGAAGAUCUUCAAUACAACAAAACAUCAGGGGGGUAUUCCAGAAAGCAGGUUAUGUGACAUACCUGGGUAUGUUUAAGGGUAAUAUGUGAGGCAACCCAAAUCAUUACCAAUGUCGAGGCAAAAUGGCCAGGAUCUGUGCAUGCUGCCAGAAUUUUCCUCGAGUCAUCAUUAUGCCAGACAUUUCAGCAGGGUGUAUUCGCUUCAUGAGGGUUUCGAACAGUCAAAGAGGAGAUGCCAACUCCAUGUGGUCUUUAAGGACAACAAUCUCCUAAUCAAUACACAAUAUCAGACUGUAUCUGACUGUAGAAAGGACAUUAUUCAUAAUAACACUCUCCGGUGUUUAUAAAAAUUUAGAAAUCACACCCUCCAGUGUCCCUUAAAUGAGGACAAGGUUUCCUUUUGAGUCUGGUUCCUCUCAAGGUUUCAUCCUCUUCCGUCUAAGGGAGUACUUCCUUUUUGUACUAUGUUUCUGGUGUUCUGAAAAGCUGCUUUGAGACAAUGUCCACUGUUAAAAGUGCUAUACAGAUAAAUUUGGAUUGAAUUGAACUGAAUUGAAUUUUAUUGAAGUGUACCAUGUUUAAUGGAUUAAAACAACUAAACCUCCACACAUGUAUUGGUGUAGAUGUUGAGACUAUGGAAAACAACAACAAGCAUCAAACUUUAGACUCAUCGAAGCGAUUAAAUGCCAUGAAAUUGAAUUUACUAACCCUUCCUCUUUUACAGCACUGAACUCCAACUAAUUUUGCAGCUGGUGUUGAGCUAUGGUGUCAUUUCCCUAUUACAUAUGACUUGUGUGUAUUUAUGUAUUUCCACCCAACCGCACUGACUGACCACUGAGAGAACUGCAGGUACAAAUGUAACUCUGACUGAUCUACAAACCAGGAACCCUGUACAAAAGCUUAUGCUUGAGCAAAACUUUAUUUUAUACUUAUAGCUGCAAGUUUAUUUCUAAAUCAUAAAAAUCUACAAUUCACAUUUAAUUUAGUGUUAAAUAUUAAAAUGGUGACCUAAGGAGACAGAGAAUAACUCAUGGUUAGAAAGGAGUUUACUUUGUGAGACUAUGGAUUGGGGACAGGGCUGUAGACCGGACUUCUGACUCGACUCAGGCUUGUGACAGAGAAUUUGUGAUUACUCAUUAUAUACAUAUCUAGCAUCAUACUAAGCACAGGGCAACAGAUCUCAAAGUGAAUUGUUUUUUUCACAGUGGAGAAACUCACAACCCAUCAUUCUCAAAGUUAUUAUGUUCACGAUACACUUAUAGUUACUAUAGAAACAUUAGUCAUAUAGACAUUAACCUACUGUACUUGGUCCUAAUCCGGUGUGUUGGUAGAAAGUAAGUUUUACAAAAAGAAUACAAAAGCUCCUUGGAUUCAACACCACCAAAAUAUUAGUGAGAGAGUGAGCCUAAUUUGUGAAUAGUUAAAAUCUGUGUUGAGGUUGUCUAUAAACAAUUUGAGAAACCUUGGCACAGACAAUAUCUAUUUAUCCUAAAGAAACAUUAAAAACUCAUGUACAGAUUUCAAAAGAUGUACAAAUGUGGUGGGAAUAUAGGAUGCUUCGGACAGAUCAUAUAUUGGGUUUGUGUAUGUUUCAGACAGUAAUCAAAGUUUAAGGAAAAAGAAGUAAAAAGUGUAAUGUAAAAUGUUAAUGCACUCAGUACAGAAGCAUAAUAUCUUAGGAUUUUGGGCUAAACAAUAAA